rnacentral:rRNA from 1 species
CCUACGGGGGGCAGCAGUGGGGAAUAUUGGACAAUGGGCGAAAGCCUGAUCCAGCCAUGCCGCGUGUGUGAAGAAGGCCUUCGGGUUGUAAAGCACUUUCAGUGGGGAAGAAAGCCUUGGGGCUAAUACCCUCGAGGAAGGACAUCACCCACAGAAGAAGCACCGGCUAACUCCGUGCCAGCAGCCGCGGUAAUACGGAGGGUGCGAGCGUUAAUCGGAAUUACUGGGCGUAAAGCGCGCGUAGGCGGUCUGAUAAGCCGGUUGUGAAAGCCCCGGGCUCAACCUGGGAACGGCAUCGGAAACUGUCAGGCUAGAGUGCGGGAGAGGAAGGUAGAAUUCCCGGUGUAGCGGUGAAAUGCGUAGAGAUCGGGAGGAAUACCAGUGGCGAAGGCGGCCUUCUGGACUGACACUGACGCUGAGGUGCGAAAGCGUGGGUAGCAAACAGGAUUAGAUACCCCAGUAGUC